rnacentral:rRNA from 1 species
AUUGAACGCUGGCGGCAGGCCUAACACAUGCAAGUCGAGCGGAGCGGCGGACGGGUGAGUAAUGCCUAGGAAUCUGCCUGGUAGUGGGGGAUAACGUCCGGCAACGGGCGCUAAUACCGCAUACUAUCAGAUGAGCCUAGGUCGGAUUAGCGAGGUGGUGGGGUAAAGGCCUACCAAGGCGACGAUCCGUAACUGGGCUGAUGGGAUGAUCAGUCAACCGGGAACUGAGACACGGUCCAGACUCCUACGGGAGGCAGCAGUGGGGAAUAUUGGAAAAUGGGCUAAAGCCUGCUCCAGCCAUGCCGCGUGUGUGAAGAAGGUCUUCGGAUUGGAAAGCACUUUAAGUUGGGAGGCGUUACCAACAUAAUAAGCACCGGCUAACUCCGUGCCAGCAGCCGCGGUAAUUC